rnacentral:rRNA from 1 species
AACAGGAUUAGAUACCCUGGUAGUCCACGCCCUAAACGAUGUCUACUAGUUGUCGGGACUUAAUUGUCUUGGUAACGCAGCUAACGCGUGAAGUAGACCGCCUGGGGAGUACGGUCGCAAGAUUAAAACUCAAAGGAAUUGACGGGGACCCGCACAAGCGGUGGAUGAUGUGGAUUAAUUCGAUGCAACGCGAAAAACCUUACCUACCCUUGACAUGGCAGGAAUCCUGAAGAGAUUUAGGAGUGCUCGCAAGAGAACCUGCACACAGGUGCUGCAUGGCUGUCGUCAGCUCGUGUCGUGAGAUGUUGGGUUAAGUCCCGCAACGAGCGCAACCCUUGUCAUUAGUUGCUACGAAAGGGCACUCUAAUGAGACUGCCGGUGACAAACCGGAGGAAGGUGGGGAUGACGUCAAGUCCUCAUGGCCCUUAUGGGUAGGGCUUCACACGUCAUACAAUGGUACAUACAGAGGGCUGCCAACCCGCGAGGGGGAGCUAAUCCCAGAAAGUGUAUCGUAGUCCGGAUUGUAGUCUGCAACUCGACUACAUGAAGUUGGAAUCGCUAGUAAUCGCGGAUCAGCAUGUCGCGGUGAAUACGUUCCCGGGUCUUGUACACACCGCCCGUCACACCAUGGGAGCGGGUUCUGCCAGAAGUAGGUAGCUUAACCGUAAGGAGGGCGCUUACCACGGCAGGGUUCGUGACUGGGGUGAAGUCGUAACAAGGUAACC